rnacentral:rRNA from 1 species
UACGUAGGGUACGAGCGUUGUCCGGAUUUAUUGGGCGUAAAGAGCUCGUAGGCGGUUUGUCGCGUCGGCCGUGAAAUCUCCACGCUUAACGUGGAGCGUGCGGUCGAUACGGGCAGACUUGAGUUCGGUAGGGGAGACUGGAAUUCCUGGUGUAGCGGUGAAAUGCGCAGAUAUCAGGAGGAACACCGGUGGCGAAGGCGGGUCUCUGGGCCGAUGACUGACGCUGAGGAGCGAAAGCGUGGGGAGCGAACAGG